GGGGCUGAUUAGGAUUUGACAGAAUUAUGAAACUUAAAGAGCAUGUCAAGGUACGGUAGGCCUUGUAAAAAAACCGUGCAAAAGAUAAUUGCAGAAAAUCAAAAUUACGCUUUAGCAGCAUAAACAACUGUAUGAAGCUCUGUUUCUUAUUAUUUUCUCUUUAAUAAAAAGUAAACAGUCAUAAAUAAAGGGAUCAUAUAUAAUUUGUCUAAAAUUAUAUAGUAGGAUAUUAAGACUAGAUAAUAUAAAACUUUGUUUUAUUAGUUUGUAUUAUUAAAAUUUUAAAAUAAAACUAAACAUGUAGUGCUAAGAGUGUAAUAAUUUUGGACGGGGGUUCGAAUCCCCCCAGCUCCAGUA
rnacentral:tmRNA from 1 species